rnacentral:rRNA from 1 species
UGCAAACUGCGAAUACCGGAGAAUGUUAUCACGGGAGACACACGGCGGGUGCUAACGUCCGUCGUGAAGAGGGAAACAACCCAGACCGCCAGCUAAGGUCCCAAAGUCAUGGUUAAGUGGGAAACGAUGUGGGAAGGCCCAGACAGCCAGGAUGUUGGCUUAGAAGCAGCCAUCAUUUAAAGAAAGCGUAAUAGCUCACUGGUCGAGUCGGCCUGCGCGGAAGAUGUAACGGGGCUAAACCAUGCACCGAAGCUGCGGCAGCGACGCUUAUGCGUUGUUGGGUAGGGGAGCGUUCUGUAAGCCUGCGAAGGUGUGCUGUGAGGCAUGCUGGAGGUAUCAGAAGUGCGAAUGCUGACAUAAGUAACGAUAAAGCGGGUGAAAAGCCCGCUCGCCGGAAGACCAAGGGUUCCUGUCCAACGUUAAUCGGGGCAGGGUGAGUCGACCCCUAAGGCGAGGCCGAAAGGCGUAGUCGAUGGGAAACAGGUUAAUAUUCCUGUACUUGGUGUUACUGCGAAGGGGGGACGGAGAAGGCUAUGUUGGCCGGGCGACGGUUGUCCCGGUUUAAGCGUGUAGGCUGGUUUUCCAGGCAAAUCCGGAAAAUCAAGGCUGAGGCGUGAUGACGAGGCACUACGGUGCUGAAGCAACAAAUGCCCUGCUUCCAGGAAAAGCCUCUAAGCAUCAGGUAACAUCAAAUCGUACCCCAAACCGACACAGGUGGUCAGGUAGAGAAUACCAAGGCGCUUGAGAGAACUCGGGUGAAGGAACUAGGCAAAAUGGUGCCGUAACUUCGGGAGAAGGCACGCUGAUAUGUAGGUGAAGUCCCUCGCGGAUGGAGCUGAAAUCAGUCGAAGAUACCAGCUGGCUGCAACUGUUUAUUAAAAACACAGCACUGUGCAAACACGAAAGUGGACGUAUACGGUGUGACGCCUGCCCGGUGC